AUUGAACGCUGGCGGCAUGCUUUACACAUGCAAGUCGAACGGUAGCAGGCCGCAAGGUGCUGACGAGUGGCGAACGGGUGAGUAAUGCAUCGGAACGUGCCCAGUCGUGGGGGAUAACGCAGCGAAAGCUGUGCUAAUACCGCAUACGAUCUAUGGAUGAAAGCGGGGGACCGUAAGGCCUCGCGCGAUUGGAGAGGCCGAGGACAGAUUAGGUAGUUGGUGGGGUAAAGGCUCACCAAGCCAACGAUCUGUAGCGGGUCUGAGAGGACGACCAGCCACACUGGGACUGAAACACGGCCCAGGCUCCUACGGGAGGCAGCAGUGGGGAAUUUUGGACAAUGGGGGCAAGCCUGAUCCAGCAAUGCCUCGUGCAGGAAGAAGGCCUUCGGGUUGUAAACUGCUUUUGUACGGAACGAAAAGGUCUCUCUUAAUACGGGGGGCUCAUGACGGUACCGUAAGAAUAAGCACCGGCUAACUACGUGCCAGCAGCCGCGGUAA
rnacentral:rRNA from 1 species